AGAUCGUAGUUGCAGAGCUUGACGGCGCUCAUGUUUACUCUUUUUGUUAAAUGACGUCAGGCUUAGCCGCUUAGGUUU